rnacentral:rRNA from 1 species
GAUGAACGCUCGCUGUGUGCCUAAUACAUGCAUGUUGAACGGGAUGUAGCAAUACAUUCAGUAGCGAAUGGGUGAGUAACACGUACCUAACCUACCUUUAAGACUGGGAUAACUAUUGGAAACAAUAGCUAAUACCGGAUAUAGUUAUUUAUCGCAUGAUGAGUAAUAGAAAGGAGCUUCACAGCUUCACUUAAAAAUGGGGGUGCGGAACAUUAGUUAGUUGGUAGGGUAAUGGCCUACCAAGACGAUGAUGUUUAGCCGGGCCGAGAGGCUGUACGGCCACACUGGGACUGAGAUACGGCCCAGACUCCUACGGGAGGCAGCAGUAAGGAAUUUUCCACAAUGAGCGAAAGCUUGAUGGAGCGACACAGCGUGCAGGAUGAAGUUCUUCGGAAUGUAAACUGCUGUUAUAAGGGAAGAAAAAAUAGAAUAGGAAAUGAUUUUAUCUUGACGGUACCUUAUUAGAAAGCGACGGCAAACUAUGUGCCAGCAGCUGCGGUAAUACAUAGGUCGCAAGCGUUAUCCGGAAUUAUUGGGCGUAAAGCGUCCGUAGGUUUUUUGCUAAGUCUGGAGUUAAAUGCUGAAGCUCAACUUCAGUCCGCUUUGGAUACUGGCAAAAUAGAAUUAUAAAGAGGUUAGCGGAAUUCCUAGUGAGGCGGUGGGAAUGCGUAGAUAUUAGGAAGAACACCAAUAGGCGAAGGCAGCUAACUGGUUAUAUAUUUGACACUAAGGGACGAAAAGCGUGGGGAGCAACAGG